rnacentral:rRNA from 1 species
UACGUAGGGGGCAAGCGUUGUCCGGAAUCAUUGGGCGUAAAGCGCGUGUAGGCGGUUCGGUAAGUCUGCUGUGAAAGUCCAGGGCUCAACCCUGGGAUGCCGGUGGAUACUGUCGGGCUAGAGUACGGAAGAGGCGAGUGGAAUUCCCGGUGUAGCGGUGAAAUGCGCAGAUAUCGGGAGGAACACCUAUGGCGAAGGCAGCUCGCUGGGACGUUACUGACGCUGAGACGCGAAAGCGUGGGGAGCAAACAGG